rnacentral:rRNA from 1 species
UGGGGGCCCUUCCCGGGUACCUCACCGAACCAAACUCCGAAUACCAUUGUCCGUAUCCUGGGAGUCAGUCCGCGAGGGAUAAGCUUCGCGGUCGAGAGGGAAACAACCCAGACCACCUGCUAAGGUCCCCAAGCAAUACUCAGUCACUAAGGAAGUGAAGUUGCAAUGACAGCCAGGAUGUUGGCUUAGAAGCAGCCAUCAUUUAAAGAAAGCGUAAUAGCUCACUGAUCGAGUC